rnacentral:rRNA from 1 species
GACGAACGCUGGCGGCGUGCUUAACACAUGCAAGUCGAACGAAGAGCGAUGGAAGCUUGCUUCUCUCAAUCUUAGUGGCGAACGGGUGAGUAACGCGGAAUCAACCUGCCCUUCAGAGGGGGACAACAGUUGGAAACGACUGCUAAUACCGCAUACGAUCUAAUCUCGGCAUCCAGGAUAGAUGAAAGGUGGCCUCUACAUGUAAGCUAUCACUGAAGUAGGAGAUUGCGUCUGAUUAGCUAGCUGGUGGGGUAACGGCCCACCAAGGCGAUGAACAGUAGCCGGUCUGAGAGGAUGAACGGCCACAUUGGGACGGAGAAACGGCCCAGAAUCCUACGGGAGGCAGGAGGGGGGAAACUUCCGCAAUGGAGGAAAGGCUGAAGGAGCCAAGCCGGGUGAGUGAUGAAGGCCUUCGGGUUGGAAAGCUCUGUUAAUCGGGACGAAAGGCCUUCUUGCGAAUAGGGAGAAGGAUUGACGGUACCGGAAUAGAAAGCCACGGCUAACUACGUG